AGAACGAACGCUGGCGGCAUGCCUAACACAUGCAAGUCGAACGCUCUCUUCGGAGGGAGUGGCGCACGGGUGAGUAACGCGUGGGAACCUGCCUUGGAGUGGGGGAUAACCGAUGGAAACGUCGGCUAAAUACCGCAUACGUCCUGAGGGAGAAAGAUUUAUCGCUCUGAGAGGGGCCCGCGUCGGAUUAGCUAGUUGGUGGGGUAACGGCCUACCAAGGCGAUGAUCCGUAGUUGGUCUGAGAGGAUGAUCAGCCACACUGGGACUGAGACACGGCCCAGACUCCUACGGGAGGCAGCAGUGGGGAAUAUUGGACAAUGGGCGCAAGCCUGAUCCAGCAAUGCCGCGUGAGUGAUGACGGCCUUAGGGGUUGUAAAGCUCUUUCGGCGGGGACGAUGAUGACGGUACCCGCAGAAGAAGCCCCGGCUAACUUCGCGCCAGCAGCCGC
rnacentral:rRNA from 1 species